rnacentral:lncRNA from 1 species
UAAUCCUGUUUAUUAAAAAGGGUCCUACAGCUUUACAACCCCAGCUCAGGCCUGGCCCUGGAGUGAGGCCAGCCCUUCACCACAUCGACACCGAGCUCACGCCCUUGGCUCCACCCCGUGUGGGCUUGUGGGUGUCCCCCCACCGACCUCGGGGUAGGCAGCAGAGGUACUGGGGAGGGGCGGGGCGGGCCCUGAUCUCCAGAUUCACAAAACAUGGUAGGCACGCCCCUCCCAUUCGGCUGUGACAGUCCAGGAGAACCAUAUGCUAACUGAAGACAGGGGUUGGUGGCCUCGCCUCUGGCCUGCUGUGACAGACCCUGUUUGAGCACUGCCUCCAGUCUAUCACCAGGGCAGGCGAGAGCCCAGAGGGCCAGGAGGAGCCAGGGGUGUUCCCAGGGCAUCUGCCCAUCCUGGUGCUGGCUUUCUCCAAAGCAUGACGCCAUGCUGCGGGACUCCCUCUGUCCCCCUCCCACCCUGAGGCCCAAUCAGAGGCAGAGAAUAUUGGCUACGAGUAUCCUGGUUCAAGACGGGACAGAAUUCUUCCACCUGCAACACGACGACCUUGGACAAGCCCCUCUGGGAACACAGAGCCAGUAGUGAGAGCUACCCCUCGGCCUGCCCAGCCUGUGGGCCUGCGGGGGAGCCAUGGACGGCCCCUCAUUGGCACCAGGGGAAACUAAGGCACAGCACAGGCACCCACAGGUGUGACCAUACACUGCUUGUAAGAAAGGAAAUUGCAUUCGCUUCUGCACCUCAAUCUGUUCAAAACAAGAUGUGUAUUUUUAUAAAGUUUCCCUGAAUGGUCUUGUGUCAAAAAAGUUUUCUUUCCCAAUAUAAAACAGGAAAAUUACAUAGUAAAAAUACUGGGGGGAGUAUUUCUUCGUAGAAACCGUCAGGGGCUGGCCCGAGGCGGGGGAGAGAGGAGGAGCCGAGGACGUGGUCUGCUGUGCAAAGUCCGGCUCGGACCAAUCUUCCCCGGCCCGGCUGCAACGUGCCCAGCCUCCGGACCUGGCAGGGGGCCGAGCGCAUACCCUGCAUGUGGCUUUGAAGCAUCCAGGUUCGGGGGGAGGGACGAUUGGCCACCCCAGCCCGCCGAUUCAGUAAGCACCUUCCAGGCAAGCCCACCUGACGGACCCUCAUCAGGGACAGCGGCGGGCAGGGCCACACAGCACUGUCUUUUGUGCACAAAGCAGGAACGAUGACGCAGCUUAUUAAAUAAAGCUGCAACGGGAGGAACACGAUUUUAAGUGGGAAGGGAGGGAGGCUUUCCCCCCCAGACUUAGGAGUCCAUCAACACUACGAGACUUAGAAAUCAUACCGAGAACACAAACCGGUGCGGCCGCGGGGAUGCCAGGCUGAGGCCCUGCACGCACAACCACCUGGGUGCAAAACCGGGGUCUACGUCUACUUACCACUGACCUACAGUUCUACAAACGGGGGCGCUGGCGCAGGGCCACAG